rnacentral:rRNA from 1 species
CAACUUUCAGCAGUGGAUGUCUAGGCUCGCACAUCGAUGAAGAACGCUGCGAACUGCGAUACGUAAUGCGAAUUGCAGAAUUCAGUGAGUCAUCGAAAUUUUGAACGCACAUUGCACUUUCGGGUUAUGCCUGGAAGUAUGCCUGUAUCAGUGUCCGUACAUCAAACUUGCCUUUCUUUUUCUGUGUAGUCAGGGAGAGAGAUGGCAGAAUGUGAGGUGUCUCGCUGGCUCCCUUUUCGGAGGAGAAGACGCGAGUCCCUUUAAAUGUACGUUCGCUCUUUCUUGUGUCUAAGAUGAAGUGUGAUUCUCGAAUCGCGGUGAU